CCUACGGGAGGCAGCAGUGGGGAAUCUUGCGCAAUGGGCGAAAGCCUGACGCAGCCAUGCCGCGUGAAUGAUGAAGGUCUUAGGAUUGUAAAAUUCUUUCAGUAGGGACGAUAAUGACGGUACCUACAGAAGAAGCCCCAGCUAACUUCGUGCCAGCAGCCGCGGUAAUACGAAGGGGGCUAGCGUUGCUCGGAAUUACUGGGCGUAAAGGGAGCGUAGGCGGACAUUUAAGUCAGGGGUGAAAUCCCAGAGCUCAACUCUGGAACUGCCUUUGAUACUGGGUGUCUUGAGUGUGAUAGAGGUAUGUGGAACUCCGAGUGUAGAGGUGAAAUUCGUAGAUAUUCGGAAGAACACCAGUGGCGAAGGCGACAUACUGGAUCAUUACUGACGCUGAGGCUCGAAAGCGUGGGGAGCAAACAGGAUUAGAUACCCUGGUAGUCCCACGACCGUAACGAUAGAUGUCGUAGUUGUUCGGGUAGUGUUUACUAUCUCGGUGUACGCAGACUACGCAUAGACGACUCCGCCGUCGGGGAGGUACGGUCGUCGAGAGUUAAACUUACUAAUUAGUUAGUUAGACGGCGNGAGACGNGCCGACGGACGACGACGAGGGAGGAGG
rnacentral:rRNA from 1 species